GGAUCGUCUAAUGGUAGGACAGCGGACUCUGACUCCGCUAGUGAGGGUUCGAAUCCUUCUCC
rnacentral:tRNA from 1 species